rnacentral:lncRNA from 1 species
UUAUGCCUCUAUCAGAGAAAAAUGAGAUUGUUAUUUAGAACAUUUGUUCUCAUCCAACAAAUAUGUUUAUAGUUUUCCAUGAUUUAAUUGUUUUGGAGACAAGAGUCCACGGGUUGGUCUAUUCAAUACUUUAUCAUAUAUCCCUUUUGAUGCAUCUCUCUCCACCCUCUAAAUUCCUCUCUCUAAUUCUCCCCUCUUCCCUUCCUUAUUAUCAUCAUCAUCAUCGAUUGCACAGCUGCCAUAAACUGGAUUUGACAGUUUCUCUAAUUAUCGAGCUCUAUUAAAAAACCUGGGAUAAUUAGAGAUAUUGACGUAAAUUCCUCCUCAUUUAUGAAUAUAGGUAUCAGCAAAUGAUAUAUGCUGUUCCUAGUAGUGUUGCCUUCUGUAGUUGACUGAUGUUGAUUUUGUCAAUUCCAAAGGCAGCCAGGUGUUGUUCUAGGUCUUUUGGGAUUGUCCUCAAAGCACCAAUGAUGAUUGGUGGAGUUGGAGCCCAGAGCCAUGGAGCCAGGAAGUUUUGGAGGAGCUGGAGCUAAGCUGAUCAUAUUCAGUGGAGCCGGAACCAUUAAAAUUUCUGAUGGCUCCAGCUCCUAAUCAUCUG